GCUGGGUGUGGUGGCUCACACCUGUAAUCCCAGCUUCUUGGGAGGCUGAGGCAGGAGAAUCACCCGAACCUUGGAGGCAGGGGUUGCAGUGAGCAGAAAUUGUGCCACUGCACUCCAACCUGGGCAACAGAGUGACACCCUGUCUCAA
rnacentral:sRNA from 1 species